GGGGCCGCUAGUGAGAGCUGGAGCCGGGCUGCGGCCUCCUCGGGCUUCUUGGUCCCGGCUGUUCUCAGUGGCCGCGGCCGGACCUGGAGUAGUGGCUGAGCCGCUCUGGCCGAGCAAGGCGCGGGUCCCCGGUCUACAGCUUGCUGGACCCGGCUCCGCCGUGACGGAAUUCCCGAGACCUCAGCGUCACGCAAGACGCGCACUGGAGGCCGCCGCGGCGAGUCCUGGGGUCUCCGCCAGGCCUCGACGCCUGAGCUGGGGACGUGCUGGAGGGACGCCCGGCCCCGCCGCUGCCCGAGACCCCGCUGUCCCGGCCGCGCCCGGCCUGGUGCCUGGGGUCGUGUCCGGUCCGCGCUGGAGGAGAGUCCCAGACGGCAGAGCCCGCGCUCGCCUCCCUUCUGCCAAGAUUCACAAAACACGGCAGAGUGGCCUCGGCAUCACCUGCCCAAGACACCUGCACGACCGGAAGUUGGGAGAAGAAAUAAGGCCACGAUGACGAACGCAGCCUUUCACGUUUAUUUCCAAUCUCACAACAAACCGGAGACCAGGAACUCUUGGGUGAUUAUCGGAAUAUUACUUAGUCCUAAAACUGUGGAGCAUUGGUUUCUAAAGGAAUCUGAGACAGGCCCGCAGUGUCUUCUCCACAUGCCUUAAGUCUCUUCUGCAAAGCAGAAAACCAUUUUUUAGUAAAUGUUAGUGAAAUUGGUUUUAAAAAAGAGAAAAGUCCGGGCGCGGUGGCUCACGCCUGUAAUCCUAGCACUUUAGGAGGCCGAGGUGGUUGGAUUGCCUGAGUUCAGGAGUUCGAGGCCAGCCUGGGCGACACGGUGAAACCCCGUCUCUACUAAAAUACAAAAAAUUAGCCGGGCGUGGCGGCGCGCGCCUGUAAUCCCAGCUGCUCGGGAGGCUGAGGCAGGAGAAUGGCUUGAACCUGGGAGGGUGAGGUUGCAGUGAGCCGAGAUUGCGCCACUGCCCUCCAGCCUGGGCGACAGAGCGAGACUCCGUCUUUUCAAAAACAAAGAAAAAGAAAAGGCUUUCAAAAUUACUCUGUGGUACACUAAUAUGACAGAUUGGAUCACUUUCCAGGCUUUAAGUUGGCCUUUGUUCUAUCCUUUUUUAGUGUAUGAUAAAAUUUGUGUUGGUUCCUUGAUCAGCAUGCAGUGAACGCUGGCUCGUGUUAAU
rnacentral:lncRNA from 1 species